rnacentral:rRNA from 1 species
AGCGAACGCUGGCGGCAGGCCUAACACAUGCAAGUCGAACGAAGUCUUCGGACUUGGUGGCGGACGGUUGAGUAACACGUGGGAACGUACCUUUCGGUUCGGAACAACUCAGGGAAACUUGAGCUAAUACCGGAUGAGCCCUUAGGGGGAAAGAUUUAUCGCCGAAAGAGCGGCCCGCGUUAGAUUAGCUAGUUGGUGAGGUAAAGGCUCACCAAGGCUACGAUCUAUAGCUGGUCUGAGAGGAUGAUCAGCCACACUGGGACUGAGACACGGCCCAGACUCCUACGGGAGGCAGCAGUGGGGAAUCUUGCGCAAUGGGCGAAAGCCUGACGCAGCCAUGCCGCGUGAAUGAUGAAGGUCUUAGGAUUGUAAAAUUCUUUUACCAGGGACGAUAAUGACGGUACCUGGAGAAAAAGCCCCGGCUAACUUCGUGCCAGCCGCCGCAGUAAUAC